rnacentral:rRNA from 1 species
CAGCAGCCACGGUAAUACGUAGGGUGCGAGCGUUAAUCGGAAUUACUGGGCGUAAAGCGUGCGCAGGCGGUUAUAUAAGACAGAUGUGAAAUCCCCGGGCUCAACCUGGGACCUGCAUUUGUGACUGUAUAGCUAGAGUACGGUAGAGGGGGAUGGAAUUCCGCGUGUAGCAGUGAAAUGCGUAGAUAUGCGGAGGAACACCGAUGGCGAAGGCAAUCCCCUGGACCUGUACUGACGCUCAUGCACGAAAGCGUGGGGAGCAAACAGGAUUAGAUACCCCGGUAGUCCCUGUCUCUUAUAC